rnacentral:rRNA from 2 species
CUUUUAAAUAAGUAAGAGUUUGUGGUGGAUGCCUUGGGUCUGGAAGUCGAUGAAGGACGUGAUUACCUGCGAAAAGCCUCGUGGAGCUGGAUAUACGCUACGAUACGGGGAUGUCCGAAUGGGGAAACCUAGUUAGAGGAAAGUCUAACUGCUUAGCGAUGAAUCUAUAGUCGCUAUAGACGAGAGACGUUGUGAACUGAAACAUCUUAGUAGCAACAGGAAAAGAAAAUAAAUAAUGAUUCCAUCAGUAGCGGCGAGCGAAAGUGGAACAGCCCAAACCAACAUAUGUUGGGGUUGUAGGACUAUCUACAUGAAGUUACAAAAUUUUGUCAUAGCAAAAUUAGUUGGGAAACUAAAGCAUAGAGGGUGAUACUCCCGUAUGCGAAAUGGCAAAAUCUUCUGAUAGCAUCCUGAGUAGGGCGGGGCACGUGAAACCCUGUCUGAACCAGCCGGGACCAUCCGGUAAGGCUAAAUACUAACCAGACACCGAUAGUGAACUAGUA